rnacentral:lncRNA from 1 species
GGUCAGUCUAAUACGACACUUAAGAAAGACGUUCACAAAACAUAGAGCCCAUAUCAUAUGAUUCUAUGAGAACAAGAAAGGCGACAGCGUUGUUUCUAUUAAUUCAAAUGGAACAAGAAGAGCAGGUAUUACAGGCUCAUGAUUUACUUUUACAAAUAAAAUAUUAUUUUUGUCAAUUUUUCAUAUCAAAUAACAUAAUGAAAAUCAUAAAACGCGCCUCGUAUACCAACACUGCAGGUACACGUAUAUAGGGAAACCAACUUUUUCUUCAUUAUUCUGAUUUUUUAUGUAUCGUCUGAGAUGUUGUCACACGAAUGUUUACUCCAUAAACAUUUUGUUUUCUAUAUGUCAUAUUUUGCCGCAUUUGUUGUUUUCCCCACAUCCUUCCUUUAGUCUAUAUUAUUAUGAUAUUCUCCUGGAAAGAGCUCUUUUUGAAUAAAAGGGAUCAACGAACCCAUUACCUUACCUUUAAGAUAGAUCAGUAAACAUGGGCAUAAUUAUGGGUGAUUAUUCAGACUAGUGCACACAUUUUACAGUUCAAACAAGGCAAUGCCGAGCGUGGCAUGCCCUCGUAUGUAACAUAUUGGGGACAAAUAUGGACACUAUAUUUGUAUAUGACACAUGCAGAAAAUGGUAAAUUGAAUACGCAUUUUGAUACAUAAACUAUUUUUUUAGAAAUCAACCAAAUUAUUCAGUAACUGGAAAUACCCACGGUCUUCCGUCUUAUGAUUAAACCAAAAAUUAAAUGUACAAUAUAAUAUAUAUUCAAUAUUGAUCAAACAAUUUAAAACGCGUG